rnacentral:lncRNA from 1 species
GUCACACCACUCCUGGUCCUCCACCUUGUGGUGGGUGGAUUGGUUUGGGGAUUGGAGGGCUCCUCCAUGUUUUCCUAUGAGGGACCACACAAUGAGUGCUGGAGAUGAGGUGUCACUUGAAGGUGCAAGGGUGAUAAUAGAUAAAGGGGACUAAGGGUUUGUUUGUUUGGCUGGUGCAAUUUAGUUGUUUAUAAUUGGAACUUAUAUGGUUGCCCAAAGAGGAACCUUGUUUGGUUGUUUGCAGUUGAAAACUAUAAAUGCAAUUGCAGCUGUUUGAUUGUUUAAUGUAUGAAGAAAUAUGGUUACCCUAUAAUUGAGCCAAUAAAGUUACCCAUG